rnacentral:rRNA from 1 species
AACGAACGCUGGCGGCAUGCCUAACACAUGCAAGUCGAACGAAGCCUUCGGGCUUAGUGGCGCACGGGUGCGUAACGCGUGGGAAUCUGCCCUUUGGUUCGGAAUAACAGUUGGAAACGACUGCUAAUACCGGAUGAUGACGAAAGUCCAAAGAUUUAUCGCCAGAGGAUGAGCCCGCGUAGGAUUAGCUAGUUGGUGUGGUAAAGGCGCACCAAGGCGACGAUCCUUAGCUGGUCUGAGAGGAUGAUCAGCCACACUGGGGCUGAGACACGGCCCAGACUGCUACGGGAGGCAGCAGUGGGGAAUAUUGGACAAUGGGCGAAAGCCUGAUCCAGAAAUGCCGCGUGAGUGAUGAAGGCCCUAGGGUUGUAAAGCUCUUUUACCCGGGAUGAUAAUGACAGGACCGGGAGAAUAAGCCCCGGCUAACUCCGUGCCAGCCGCCGCGGUAA